rnacentral:lncRNA from 7 species
GUCAUACGCCUACUACAGCAGGCAACACAGAACAUAUAUACUGCACAUAAGGUGUGCUCCAUGAUGUGACUGCAGAGUUCAGCUGGCUUGAAGCAUCAGUGUGAAAGUAGUGCAACUGCCCAGGCUUUACAGCAGUGUUCAGGACUGACACUGGCUAGUAGCUUAUUUCCUGCUACAAGAAUCCGCCCUGUUUGCCUCGCAUACGUUUAAGCACCUGAUUUUUCAUUAAGUCCUCCAUCUUCUGCAUCACAAGGAAUCUGGGAAGCCACAGACAACCCAUCCUGCAGCUCACCUCUCUGUCCAGACAUCCAAACACUCUGGGUCACUAUGCUAGGCAAAAGGCCCAGCAGCACAGUGCCAUUGCCUCACAUUACCGCUGUACCCUAACAGCAUGGAUUCACACCCUACUUCUCUGCAAGGAUCUUCCUCUGCUGGGUUCAUAGAUGUCAUUUUGGGAAGUCCCAAACUAUGGCUGCUUUUGUAGCACUGAAAACUAUGCCAUCUUCAUCCAAACUUUUCUAACCUUGUAUUUCAUUAUCCAGUAAUUCACGUCAAUAUACAUGACCCAAGCCGGUAACAAACCCCUGAUGGUGUCUUACAAUGCAAUGGAGAAACUCUCAGCUUAACCCUGAGACUGAUCAACCGCUGGGGCUGCCAGAGCAUCUCCUGACAGGAGCAGUCUCUUUCAUGGUUUUAAUACAGCUUGUGUUAUAUGAUUUCACAGCCAUUAAUAUAUUCUAAUAGAUGUGUAGGAUGACCACCUUUCAUAACAUCAAAGUUUAAAAAUUCAUUACAAUCUGAAGAAAAUACUCUGGACUAGAAAACAGUUUAUUCCGAGGAAGAAAAGUUGGUGGCUUCCUGCUAAUCAGUACUGCUAACAUUUUUAUAUAUAAAGUAUUUUCUCAAAAUGUUAAAUACAAUUGUAAGCUGUAAGAGGGAAUAAAUGUUAUAAAGAUAGAAAUCUCUACUGCCACUUAAGCGAUAAGUUAAAAAACAUCUUUUCAUGCUUGGGGGUAUUUUUCACUCAGAAGUCACUUUUUCAUCUGAUUUAAAUCCAAUUAAGUCUGAACAUCUAAAAUGAAGAACAAGUCUUUGAAUUUAUGUAUAACUGAUUUAACUAAUCACUGUAUCACUGCAGAGCUACUAAGCAAACAAACUAUGAAAAAUAAAUGUGAAAUCAGACCCAAACCACAGUCAGCCUUGAUUUUGGUUUUUAAAUAAAUUAGUAAUCAUG